rnacentral:lncRNA from 1 species
CCGGGCACCGAGGCUUCCCCCGCGGCGGACAAGGCGCCCCAGAGCUGGCCCCCGAGCGCGGCCCGCGCCCGGGGGACACGCUGGACCAGUGGGUCUCUGCCUUUCUGGUGUACGCCAGCGUGCUGUGCGAGAAGCACCCGGCCCGCUGCGGGGCCAUGUUCAAGUACCUGGACACCAUCCGCAAACUGCACGCCACUUACGGGGGCACCUCGUGGAUGAGCUACGACGAGGACUUCCGGCGGCGGGCAGCCAAGGACCCGACCCUGCCAUGGGGCGACGUGGACCUGGACCUGUGGAUGAAGUGGAUGGCACCCCUCAAGUCGCUCGUCAGCAGGCAUCAGCAUGCCGAGAGCGAGCAGCAGGCCCCGCCGCCGCCCCCGCCAGCCCCGCAGCCACCCCAGAGUCCCAAGCAGGAGGAGAAAAGCCAGACCCCAUGAAAACAGAAGGCCAGUUGGAAGGGCAGUCAGACUAAGUGGGUGAGUUUAUAUAUAAAAACUAACUAACUUUGGACUUUAAAUAUUUGCAGAUUUGUUAAAUACAGAAUUUCUUAUUGGUGCCAACAGCCUGACUCCGUUGGUGUUUAAGUGGAGCUCUGGUAUUCUAGUGCAUUCUUUUACCUCUGCUUCUGUUGCAUUGCAAGCUGUGCUAGAGAAGACAUAGGAAAUUCAUUUUACCCAAUCAUCAAUUGUAACAAUGGACUACAAACCUGCAGAGCAAGCCAGUUUGCUGGAAAACAGGAAUUCCUGCAGCGCAGCACUUGUCACAGACUAUCCAAAGAGGGCAAAGAUUCAGGAAGGUGAAUAAAUUGAACAUUGGUUGAAUGAGGUCA